rnacentral:rRNA from 1 species
GACGAACGCUGGCGGCGUGCCUAACACAUGCAAGUCGAACGGAAAGGCCCUGACUUUGUGGGGUGCUCGUGUGGCGACCGGGUGAGUAACACGUGAGUACCCUGUCCCUGACUUUGGGAUAUCUUCAUGAAACAGGGGGUCUUACCGGCUAGGAUUUCUUGCUUCAUGGUGGGGGAUGGUUAGAUUCGGUGGUUGGGGAUGGAAUAGCGGCUUAUCAGCUUGUUGGUGAGGUAGUGGCGUACCAUGGCUAUGACGGGUAGCCGGCCUGAACGGGUGACCGGCCACAUUGGGACUGAGAUACGGCCCAGACUCCUACGGGAGGCAGCAGUGGGGAAUAUUGCACAAUGGGCGGAAGCCUGAUGCAGCAACGCCGCGUGCGGGAUGACGGCCUUCGGGUUGUAAACCGCUUUCGCCUGUGACGAAGCGUGAGUGACGGUAAUGGGUAAAGAAGCACCGGCUAACUACGUG